rnacentral:rRNA from 1 species
AGCGAACGCUGGCGGCAGGCUUAACACAUGCAAGUCGAGCGGGCACUUCGGUGUCAGCGGCAGACGGGUGAGUAACACGUGGGAACGUACCCUUUGGUUCGGAAUAACGCUGGGAAACUAGCGCUAAUACCGGAUACGCCCUUUUGGGGAAAGGCUUGCUGCCGAAGGAUCGGCCCGCGUCUGAUUAGCUAGUUGGUGGGGUAAUGGCCUACCAAGGCGACGAUCAGUAGCUGGUCUGAGAGGAUGAUCAGCCACACUGGGACUGAGACACGGCCCAGACUCCUACGGGAGGCAGCAGUGGGGAAUAUUGGACAAUGGGCGCAAGCCUGAUCCAGCCAUGCCGCGUGAGUGAUGAAGGCCUUAGGGUUGUAAAGCUCUUUUGUCCGGGACAAUAAUGACGGUACCGGAAGAAUAAGCCCCGGCUAACUUCGUG